GGAUUGGGAGGGUUCUACGGAACCCGUUUGGUGAAUCUAGUGCCGAGAAAAGCCUUCUAUGUGUUGAAUUUCUAGUACCCGUACCCCAAACCGACACAGGUGGGUGGGUAGAGCAUACCUAGGGGCGCGUGAUAACUCUCUCUAAGGAACUCGGCAAAAUGGCCCUGUAACUUCGGGAUAAGGGGUGCCUGCGUGAGCAGGCCGCAGUGAAAUGGCUCUGGCGACUGUUUACCAAAAACACAGGUCUCUGCUAAGUCGUAAGACGAUGUAUAGGGGCUGACUCCUGCCCAGUGCCGGAAGGUUAAGGAAGUUGGUUAGCGCAAGCGAAGCUGGCGACCGAAGCCCCGGUGAACGGCGGCCGUAACGGUAACGGUCCUAAGGUAGCGAAAUUCCUUGUCGGGUAAGUUCCGACCCGCACGAAAGGAGUAACGAUCAGAGCGCUGUCUCGGAGAGAGACACGGCGAAAUAGGAUUGUCCGUGAAUAUACGGACUACCUGCACCCGGACAGAAAGACCCUAUGAAGCUUUACUGUAACUUGGAAUUGUGUUCGGACUUUGUCUGCGCAGAAUAGGUGGGAGGCUAUGAAACGUUCCUCGCGGGGAACUGGAGCCAUCGUUGAGAUACCACUCUGGCAGAGUCUGGAUUCUAACCUACGGGGACAGUUCCAGGUGGGCAGUUUGACUGGGGCGGUCGCCUCCUAAAAUGUAACGGAGGCGCGCAAAGGUUUCCUCAGGCUGGUUGGAAAUCAGCCAUAGAGUGUAAAAGCAUAAGGGAGCUUGACUGUGAGACCUACAAGUCGAGCAAGGACGAAAGUCGGCUUUAGUGAUCCGACGGCACUGAGUGGAAGGGCCGUCGCUCAACGGAUAAAAGUUACUCUAGGAUAACAGGCUGAUCUCCCCCAAGAGUUCACAUCGACGGGGAGGUUUGGCACCUCGAUGUCGGCUCGUCGCAACCAGGGGCGGUAGUACGUCCCAAGGGUUGGGCUGUUCGCCCAUUAAAGCGGCACGUGAGCUGGGUUCAGAACGUCGUGAGACAGUUCGGUCCAUAUCCGGUGUAGGCGUAGGAGCAUUGAAAGGAUCUCUCCUUAGUACGAGAGGACCGGGAGGGACGUACCUCUGGUGUACCUGUUAUCGUGCCAACGGUAAACGCAGGGUAGCCAUGUACGGAGUGGAUAACCGCUGAAAGCAUCUAAGUGGGAAGCCCACCUUAAGAUGAGUGCUCCCUUGAGGCCACGGGAAGACGACCCGUCUGAUAGGCGCUAGGUGGAAGUGCAGUAAUGCAUGCAGCCGAGGCGUACUAAUAGGCCGAUGGCUUGUCC
rnacentral:rRNA from 1 species